rnacentral:sRNA from 2 species
AUAACGUGAUGGGAAGCGGUGCUUCCCAUGUAUGAUUGAACCCAUUCUUAGGGUUCUUUUUUGU